rnacentral:rRNA from 1 species
UACGGAGGGGGCUAGCGUUGUUCGGAAUUACUGGGCGUAAAGCGCACGUAGGCGGCUUGGUAAGUCAGAGGUGAAAUCCCGGAGCUCAACUUCGGAACUGCCUUUGAGACUGCUUGGCUUGAAUCCGGGAGAGGUGAGUGGAAUUCCGAGUGUAGAGGUGAAAUUCGUAGAUAUUCGGAAGAACACCAGUGGCGAAGGCGGCUCACUGGACCGGUAUUGACGCUGAGGUGCGAAAGCGUGGGGAGCAAACAGG